rnacentral:rRNA from 1 species
AUUGAACGCUGGCGGCAGGCCUAACACAUGCAAGUCGAGCGGAUGAAGGGAGCUUGCUCCUGGAUUCAGCGGCGGACGGGUGAGUAAUGCCUAGGAAUCUGCCUGGUAGUGGGGGAUAACGUCCGGAAACGGGCGCUAAUACCGCAUACGUCCUGAGGGAGAAAGUGGGGGAUCUUCGGACCUCACGCUAUCAGACGAGCCUAGGUCGGAUUAGCUAGUUGGUGGGGUAAAGGCCUACCAAGGCGACGAUCCGUAACUGGUCUGAGAGGAUGAUCAGUCACACUGGAACUGAGACACGGUCCAGACUCCCACGGGAGGCAGUAGUGGGGAAUAUUGGACAAAGGGCGAAAGCCUGAUCCAGCCAUGCCGCGUGUGUGAAGAAGGUCUUCGGAUUGUAAAGCACUUUAAGUUGGGAGGAAGGGCAGUAAGUUAAUACCUUGCUGUUUUGACGUUACCAACAGAAUAAGCACCGGCUAACUUCGUG